CCGGGACGGCGCGCGCCGGUUUCCAACUCCGCGGGGCCGUCGCCGCCCUCCCUCGAACGGAGGCCCUCGCGGCCAGGUGCACCGGGCGGCGGGGACAGCGGCAGGUUAAGAGGAAACGAGUCUGAUAAAUGAAUUCACUCUAUUCAAAAGCCAGAAGUCCAAGAGGAGCAGACCGCUGAUGUCCGACUUCCGGGCAGGCCCUGUACAUUGCCCCGCCCCCACUCCCAGGACUUUCUGGGAGCACGCCCUAGACCCUUACAGGGGCUCGUCACCCAGUAGGUGCUUCGUGGAAACUAUGACGAAGUCUUCACCGAUGACCCCGGACACGAGAAGCAUAGUCUUUCUCGUGGAAGGGGGGGCAGUGAGGAACAACUCCGAUGUCUCCACUUGUGAAAAGAAUGUUACACAGUGUUUGGAAUGAGGCCCCGGGAGGGAGGGAUAUUCAUCCAUGGUUUCCGCUGCCCUAUCUACAACUGUUGCCGGCACAUAGUGGAUUAUCAAUAAAUAUUUGUUGAAUGAA